CCUACGGGUGGCAGCAGUGGGGAAUAUUGGGCAAUGGGCGCAAGCCUGACCCAGCAACGCCGCGUGAAGGAAGAAGGCUUUCGGGUUGUAAACUUCUUUUAUUGAGGACGAAACAAAUGACGGUACUCAAAGAAUAAGCCACGGCUAACUCCGUGCCAGCAGUCGCGGUAAUACGUAGGUGGCAAGCGUUAUCCGGAUUUACUGGGUGUAAAGGGGGUGGAGGCGGGAGUGCAAGUCAGAUGUGAAAACUAUGGGCUCAACCCAUAGCCUGCAUUUGAAACUGUACUUCUUGAGUGCGGGAGAGGCAAUCGGAAUUCCGUGUGAAGCGGUGAAAUGCGUAGAUAUACGGAGGAACACCAGUGGCGAAGGCGGAUUGCUGGACAGUAACUGACGCUGAGGCGCGAAAGCGUGGGGAGCAAACAGGAUUAGAUACCCUUGUAGUC
rnacentral:rRNA from 1 species